rnacentral:rRNA from 1 species
UGGGGAAUAUUGCACAAUGGGCGCAAGCCUGAUGCAGCGACGCCGCGUGGGGGAUGACGGCCUUCGGGUUGUAAACUCCUUUCGCUAGGGACGAAGCUUUUUGUGACGGUACCUAGAUAAGAAGCACCGGCUAACUACGUGCCAGCAGCCGCGGUAAUACGUAGGGUGCGAGCGUUGUCCGGAAUUACUGGGCGUAAAGGGCUCGUAGGUGGUUUGUCGCGUCGUCUGUGAAAUUCCGGGGCUUAACUCCGGGCGUGCAGGCGAUACGGGCAUAACUUGAGUACUGUAGGGGUAACUGGGAUUCCUGGUGUAGCGGUGAAAUGCGCAGAUAUCAGGAGGAACACCGAUGGCGAAGGCAGGUUACUGGGCAGUUACUGACGCUGAGGAGCGAAAGCAUGGGUAGCGAACAGG